rnacentral:rRNA from 1 species
UACGUAGGGAGCAAGCGUUGUCCGGAAUCAUUGGGCGUAAAGCGCGCGUAGGUGGCCUCAUAAGUCCGCUGUGAAAGUCAAAGGCUCAACCUUUGAAAGCCGGUGGAUACUGUGAGGCUAGAGUACGGAAGAGGCGAGUGGAAUUCCUGGUGUAGCGGUGGAAUGCGCAGAUAUCAGGAGGAACACCAAUAGCGAAGGCAGCUCGCUGGGACGUUACUUGCACUGAGGCGCGAAAGCGUGGGGAGCGAACAGG